GAUGAACGCUGGCGGCGUGCCUAAUACAUGCGAGUCGAGCGAACGGACGAGAAGCUUGCUUUUCUGAUGUUAGCGGCGGACGGGUGAGUAACACGUGGAUAACCUACCUAUAAGACUGGGAUAACUUCGGGAAACCGGAGCUAAUACCGGAUAAUAUUUUGAACCGCAUGGUUCAAAAGUGAAAGACGGUCUUGCUGUCACUUAUAGAUGGAUCCGCGCUGCAUUAGCUAGUUGGUAAGGUAACGGCUUACCAAGGCAACGAUGCAUAGCCGACCUGAGAGGGUGAUCGGCCACACUGGAACUGAGACACGGUCCAGACUCUUACGGGAGGCAGCAGUAGGGAAUCUUCCGCAAUGGGCGAAAGCCUGACGGAGCAACGCCGCGUGAGUGAUGAAGGUCUUCGGAUCGUAAAACUCUGUUAUUAGGGAAGAACAUAUGUGUAAGUAACUGUGCACAUCUUGACGGUACCUAAUCAGAAAGCCACGGCUAACUACGUG
rnacentral:rRNA from 1 species